rnacentral:rRNA from 1 species
CCUACGGGAGGCAGCAGUGGGGAAUUUUGGACAAUGGGCGAAAGCCUGAUCCAGCCAUGCCGCGUGAGUGAAGAAGGCCUUCGGGUUGUAAAGCUCUUUUAGUCGGAAAGAAAGAGUUGCAAUGAAUAAUUAUGAUUUAUGACGGUACCGACAGAAAAAGCACCGGCUAACUACGUGCCAGUAGCCGCGGUAAUACGUAGGGUGCGAGCGUUAAUCGGAAUUACUGGGCGUAAAGGGUGCGCAGGCGGUCUUGCAAGUCAAGAUGUGAAAGCCCCGGGCUUAACCUGGGAAUUGCGUUUGAAACUACAAGGCUAGAGUGCAGCAGAGGGGAGUGGAAUUCCAUGUGUAGCAGUGAAAUGCGUAGAGAUGUGGAAGAACACCGAUGGCGAAGGCAGCUCCCUGGGUUGACACUGACGCUCAUGCACGAAAGCGUGGGGAGCAAACAGGAUUAGAUACCCUGGUAGUCCACGCCCUAAACGAUGUCAACUAGUUGUCGGAUCUAAUUAAGGAUUUGGUAACGUAGCUAACGCGUGAAGUUGGCCGCCUGGGGAGUACGGUCGCAAGAUUAAAACUCAAAGGAA